UCUCCGUUGGUGAACCAGCGGAGGGAUCAUUACUGAGUUUACGCUCUAUAACCCUUUGUGAACAUACCUAUAACUGUUGCUUCGGCGGGUAGGGUCUCCGCGACCCUCCCGGCCUCCCGCCUCCGGGCGGGUCGGCGCCCGCCGGAGGAUAACCAAACUCUGAUUUAACGACGUUUCUUCUGAGUGGUACAAGCAAAUAAUCAAAACUUUUAACAACGGAUCUCUUGGUUCUGGCAUCGAUGAAGAACGCAGCGAAAUGCGAUAAGUAAUGUGAAUUGCAGAAUUCAGUGAAUCAUCGAAUCUUUGAAUGCACAUUGCGCCCGCCAGCAUUCUGGCGGGCAUGCCUGUUCGAGCGUCAUUUCAACCCUCAAGCUCUGCUUGGUGUUGGGGCCCUACAGCUGAUGUAGGCCCUCAAAGGUAGUGGCGGACCCUCCCGGAGCCUCCUUUGCGUAGUAACUUUACGUCUCGCACUGGGAUCCGGAGGGACUCUUGCCGUAAAACCCCCCAAUUUUCCAAAGGUUGACCUCGGAUCAGGUAGGAAUACCCGCUGAACUUAA
rnacentral:rRNA from 1 species